rnacentral:lncRNA from 10 species
UAGCUAACCAAGGUUUAGAUUUUCGUGGGUUGCUAUUUUCUUCAGAUCAAGGUUGCCUUCUUGUUAACCCUAGACUGCAGCCGCAGAAAAUUGGACUCCCCCCACUCAGGGAUUAAGCACAUAGAAGAGUCAGGCAAUGUGGGAGUCUGGAGAGACUUGAGAUCAACGAGUUUGAAACGUUUGAAAGAAAGAAAUCUUCAGUGGUUUGAGAGCUUCACUAAGAUACUUCAAAAAAAAAAAAAAAUCAAAAUUGCCCUUAUUUAAGAGCUUUGCAGAUCCAAAUAUAAGUCCUUUUUCUUUUGCCAAGAAGGCCACUUACUCAUUUUGUGUGUCUUUAAUGCUCAAAGGAGAUGCUGGGAUUCCUAGUCAAUUCCUAAACAGGAGUCUGCCAACCAACUGUAUGAUUUUUUUUGCAAAGACCUUUUUUUUUUUUUCCUUAAAGCUCCACAUUUCUGUUCCUUUUGAUGAUGAUAUGUUGAAGAGGGAAUCAGUGCCUUUCUCGAAGCUGAGAAAAAAACCCAGAUUGGUCAACAUGGUUUUAUAAACAAGUGGUACUUCAGCAACAGCAACCAAAGUCCUAUUUAAUGAACCAGUGGAAGGUAUCCGUCUGUGAUAGCCAACUGUUUCCUUUUUCCAAGGGGCUCAUCUUCUCCUUUGGUGACCCAAAAUGCCUUUUACUUUGAGCCACACCCUCUGCCUGCAAUCCUGCAGGAUAAAAUGGGGAUGGAGGUAGAAAGCAAGUGGAUCACUUGGUACUGUCUGACUUGAUAGCCAGCUGUUGAAUGGCCUGCCAUGGCGUCACUACGAGAAUGGGGAAACUGUUCUUUUACUUCUGGAAGAAGGAGAAGCCAGAAGUUUAUUUAAUCUUUUCUAGGCAACUUAUUUUAUUGCAUUUUUAAUUUCCUCUCUUGCAUUAACAUGACCCUUUUCACUGGCUUCCCACGCCUGGUGCUUAAUUACUUAUCAUUAGCAAUGUACAUGGGGGCCUUGCUGCAUAUUUAUAAAUGUGAUCAUUAGUACAUGGAAAGACAAAGGCUUCUUUAAGACUGUCAUUAGUUAUUCUGUUUUCAUGGAAAUGUUCAUUAGGAGAAACUACCCACCUGGUUAAAUAAUUAUAAUUAAGAAUUGGUAAUCUCCUUUGCAUUUUUAACUUGAUCUUCCGUCUGUUUGUGUGAAGCUAAACAAGCCUUAUUUGGCAAGUAUUCUAUCUUUCAUUUUCACAAGAAUUGUCAACAAAUACAUACUCUUUGUUUUUAACCUAUAGGUGCUGAC